GCAAGCACUCAUAUUUGAGUCCAUUGGCCCUCCUCCCAUCAGUGUCCAUCUCCGGAUAGGUGCCUGCAACAGGCCCUUGUAAGAUUGGAAAAUUUUCCUAAACAUACUGUAAUGUAAAUACAGGAAAGGAAAGUUGACACAAGAAAGAAACACUUUUGGAAACCUAAUGAACCCAUCAAGAAAUACAAUGCAAGAGCCAGCAAAAGACCAAAUGCUUAAAUAGAGGUACCCAAUUAUCGAAGUUAAAGCAUAUUCCAAGAUUUCUCAUUGAUUAUAUAAUCAUCUAUGAUGAAAGCAACACCAAAUCCAUCGAUAAUAACCACACAGAUUUGAAAUAUGAUGGGAGCUCCAAUAUCUUAAAUGGGAUAACAAUAAUUCAGAUUAAACAAAAAAAAAGAAGAUACAUAGCGCAAGAAGACCCACCUCCAAAUAAUAGAGUAA
rnacentral:misc_RNA from 1 species